rnacentral:rRNA from 1 species
UAGAGUUUGAUCAUGGCUCAGAUUGAACGCUGGCGGCAGGCUUAACACAUGCAAGUCGAGCGGUAGCACAAGGGAGCUUGCUCCCUGGGUGACGAGCGGCGGACGGGUGAGUAAUGUCUGGGAAACUGCCUGAUGGAGGGGGAUAACUACUGGAAACGGUAGCUAAUACCGCAUAACGUCGCAAGACCAAAGAGGGGGACCUUCGGGCCUCUUGCCAUCAGAUGUGCCCAGAUGGGAUUAGCUAGUAGGUGGGGUAAUGGCUCACCUAGGCGACGAUCCCUAGCUGGUCUGAGAGGAUGACCAGCCACACUGGAACUGAGACACGGUCCAGACUCCUACGGGAGGCAGCAGUGGGGAAUAUUGCACAAUGGGCGCAAGCCUGAUGCAGCCAUGCCGCGUGUGUGAAGAAGGCCUUCGGGUUGUAAAGCACUUUCAGCGAGGAGGAAGGUGGUGAACUUAAUACGUUCAUCAAUUGACGUUACUCGCAGAAGAAGCACCGGCUAACUCCGUGCCAGCGGCCGCGGUAAUACGGAGGGUGCAAGCGUUAAUCGGAAUUACUGGGCGUAAAGCGCACGCAGGCGGUUUGUUAAGUCAGAUGUGAAAUCCCCGGGCUCAACCUGGGAACUGCAUUUGAAACUGGCAAGCUAGAGUCUCGUAGAGGGGGGUAGAAUUCCAGGUGUAGCGGUGAAAUGCGUAGAGAUCUGGAGGAAUACCGGUGGUGAAGGCGGCCCCCUGACGAAGACUGACGCUCAGGUSGAAGA